CGGGGGUGGGGGGGGGGAGAUGGGGGAAGGGUGGAGAGGCGGUACGGAGGGGCGAAUGUUAGGUGUGCAGGUGUACCUAUUUUGGUAGUACUAGCUGGCUUGGCGUUGAAGAGGCUUCUUGUUUGCGUCCUGAUGAAAGAGGGAAAACCACCAGUUUCCAUGUUCUUAAGCAGAUGCCCUGUGAUCUUAAAAUUUCUUCAGUAACUUUAACCAUAUUUGUACGCUCUAGCCUAGUAAUUUCACAUGUGGGAUAGCCAUUUUAGGAAAUUGGCCUACCAGAGAAAAAAUAAAACGAUGAUGUCCGUUGUAGGAGUAUAACAGGAAAAUUGAAAAAGAACCUCAAGUUCCACGAGAGAAGUGGUUAAGUAAACUAACAUCUUCAGAAUGAGAUAUUUUGUGAUGUUUUCCACAUUUAAGGUAGUUUCAACAUCAAUGUAAAUUUUUUCUAUAUAUAAUAAUUCAUCAUUUACUCUUCAACAAAGAAUUGAUGAGUUGGAGAAGUGCUCUAUUCAUGGUAAGUUAAAAAUGCAGGAUAUAAAAUUGCAUAUGGGAUAUGAUGUGUGUACAUCUUAGUUUAAAAAAAAAGGGGGGGGGGAACAAAGCAACUAUUUGUGUAUCAAAUGUACACCGAAGUACUAAUAGUAAUUAUUUGUGGGUAGCGGAAAUAUGGCUGAUAUUUUUCUCCUUUUGGUCUACUUUGCAUUUUCCCCAACAAGCAUUUACUGCUUUUGUAGUAGGAAGAAUAGAGUGAAAAUUAAUGUAAAAAAGGGCACAGUUUAAUAAAAUUUCUCACUCAGAGUUCAUACAUUCAGAAGCAAAUUAUCGAGCAUAUUAUGUACACUCCUUUCAGGGUUGGCCACAGGAGAAGGAUAAAACAUAAUCGCUGCCCUAAAAGAGAGUAUCUUCUAGUAGAGGAGCUCAGAUACAUAUACAAAAAACAGCUGGGUAUCCGUACAAGUCAGCGUGUGAUGUUGGUUCCAAAGUUGACCUGUAUAGGUUUAUACACAAAUACAUAUUUUAUGGAAACACAAGAAACUAGUCAUUGUGGCUGCCUCCACAGUGGGAACUGUAGGACAAGGGAAGAAAGGGCUGAGGACAGAGCUGGGGCCAACUACUGCGGCACAGAGCGUGGACCACCGCGGGCCCACAGUGUAUAUUUCAGUUUGCUUUUGUCGUCUGAAUGA
ensembl:lincRNA